rnacentral:lncRNA from 1 species
GCGCAGCGGUCCAUGCGAUGAUAUUGCACCUGCUACUGCGGCUGCGAGCACGUGGUUUCUGUUGACGUCGUACCAGUAUGCCGCGCUCGAAGCGAAAUCGUCAAGUUUCUCUUACUCGGACAAAGAAGAAAGGAUUAGACCACAAGCGGGAUCUCAUCCAAGAGGUAAGCCUUGUCUCUG